rnacentral:rRNA from 1 species
UACGUAGGGAGCAAGCGUUGUCCGGAAUCAUUGGGCGUAAAGCGCGCGUAGGUGGCCCUGUAAGUCCGUUGUGAAAGUCAAAGGCUCAACCUUUGAAAGCCGAUGGAUACUGCAGGACUCGAGUACGGAAGAGGCGAGUGGAAUUCCUGGUGUAGCGGUGGAAAUGCGCAGGAUAUCAGGAGGAACACCAAUAAGCGAAAGG